rnacentral:rRNA from 1 species
UACGUAGGGUGCGAGCGUUAAUCGGAAUUACUGGGCGUAAAGCGUGCGCAGGCGGUUUUGUAAGCCAGAUGUGAAAUCCCCGGGCUUAACCUGGGAAUGGCAUUUGGGACUGCAAGGCUUGAGUGCGGCAGAGGAGACUGGAAUUCCUGGUGUAGCAGUGAAAUGCGUAGAUAUCAGGAGGAACACCAGUGGCGAAGGCGGCUCACUGGCCCGAUGACUGACGCUGAGGCACGAAAGCGUGGGGAGCAAACAGG